rnacentral:rRNA from 1 species
AUUUACGGCCAUGCCACCCUGAACAAGCCCAAUGUCUGAUCUUGGAAGCUGAGAAGGGUCGGCCCUGGUUAGUACUGGGAUGGGAGACCACCUAGGAAGACCAUGUGCUAUAGGCA